GACGAACGCUGGCGGCGUGCCUAAUACAUGCAAGUCGAGCGGACCAAACAGGAGCUUGCUCUUGUUUGGUUAGCGGCGGACGGGUGAGUAACACGUGGGUAACCUGCCCGUAAGACCGGGAUAACUCCGGGAAACCGGAGCUAAUACCGGAUAACACCGAAGACCGCAUGGUCUUUGGUUGAAAGGCGGCUUCGGCUGCCACUUACGGAUGGGCCCGCGGCGCAUUAGCUAGUUGGUGAGGUAACGGCUCACCAAGGCGACGAUGCGUAGCCGGCCUGAGAGGGUGACCGGCCACACUGGGACUGAGACACGGCCCAGACUCCUACGGGAGGCAGCAGUAGGGAAGCUUCCGCAAUGGACGAAAGUCUGACGGAGCGACGCCGCGUGAGCGAAGAAGGUCUUCGGAUCGUAAAGCUCUGUUGUUAGGGAAGAAGAAGCGCCGUUCGAACAGGGCGGCGCGGUGACGGUACCUAACGAGAAAGCCCCGGCUAACUACGUG
rnacentral:rRNA from 1 species